rnacentral:lncRNA from 1 species
UAAAAAUACAAAAAUUAGCUGGGCGUGGUGGCGCGCGCCUGUAGUCCCAGCUACUCGGGAGGCUGAGGCAGAAGAAUCGCUUGAAGCCGGGAGGCAAAGGUUGCAGUGACCCGAGAUUGCGCUACUGCACUCCAGCCUGGGCGACAGAGCGAGGUUCCGUCUCGAAAAAAAAAACAACGAAAAGGGGACUCACUUCGGAGAAGCUGCCCUCUCUGCAAACUUAUUUGAGUAAGGGACUGAAGACUGAAGUUAGGGAGAGGAAAGGGAUACACGUCUGUUAGUGCGAGUUGCGUGUCUUGUUAGUGCGAACUGGAACCCAAGUUUCCUUUGGGAAGACUUUGGCGAAAGAGUACAGGAACACCAGCCACUCCAGAAAGAGACCGCUCCUCUUGAACCCGCCCAC